UACGUAGGUCCCGAGCGUUGUCCGGAUUUAUUGGCGUAAAGCGAGCGCAGGUGGUUUAUUAAGUCUGGUGUAAAAGGCAGUGGCUCAACCAUUGUAUGCAUUGGAAACUGGUAGACUUGAGUGCAGGAGAGGAGAGUGAAAUUCCAUGUGUAGCGGUGAAAUGCGUAGAUAUAUGGAGGAACACCGGUGGCGAAAGCGGCUCUCUGGCCUGUAACUGACACUGAGGCUCGAAAGCGUGGGGAGCAAACAGG
rnacentral:rRNA from 1 species